ACACUUCGGAAAGUCCGAAGGUGUUAAAAUGAUUAAAAGCGAGUUGUGGAAGGUUUUCGAGAGCUAAAGAAUUGAAUUCUGCAAAACUGCAGAUUUUCAGCUCUCGGGGACCGGUCCCUGAAGGGAGAGACCGGUCCCCGAACGCGUAUGAAAUGAGACAGCCGAAAAAUCGGCUAAGUCCUGGAAGGGUGGCUCUCGGGAACCGGUCUCUGCCUGAGAGACCGGUCCCCCAGAGACCGGUCCCCCUAGGAGAGACCGGAUGCAUCGCGCGCAGCAGCUCUGGCUGCGCGGGGAGAGCUCUCGGAGACCGGUCCCUAGUCGGGGAGACCGGUCCCCGAGCCCGAAAUCUGCCCAGACCAGGCAGUUGAAAUAGAUGAAAGUUGAGGGGUUUAUUAGCAUUUUUGCAACCCAAGGGAUAUGUUAGUGGGCUGAGGGACCUCCCCUCUCAUUCCACUCCCCCUCACACCCUCUCCUCUCUUUCUCUCUCUAGAAGACAAAGAAGGAGAAGAAG
rnacentral:lncRNA from 1 species